GGGAAAUGAGUAAAAGGAAGUAGUAUAUUAGCAAUUAGAAUAAAUAAUUUUAAACAGAAAUAUUCUAGGAAAUGAGUAAAGGGAGUAAUCAGCAGCAUAAAUAAUUAUUUUGUUAGUCAAAAAUAUACCAUAUGUACUGUCAUAUAACAUAAUAGAAUUUGGUGAAUUUCUGCCUCUAGUACAUAAUAGACUGAACCUUUACCAGAUAACAACUAUAAAAUUUUGAGGAAAAUAACCCACAGAAUUCUACUAGCCGGCUCCGGAGAAGAGAUAAAAGCAGACAUAUAUUGGAGGGCAGUUGAAAUUUAGAAGAAAGGACUGUGAUGGAUUAAUUUUCUUGUUUUUAUGAUCUUAUACUGAGGUUAACCACAGUCACAAGUGCAAGGUGGUGAAGGACAGCUAAAAUACUUAGAGAAAAAUGACUGUCCUUCUGUCCAAAGAACCAAAAGACAGAGCCCAGGACAUCCAUGACCCCUAGAAAAUGAGAAAGAAGUCCUGAAGCAGAGAAAGUCAGAGAAGGGGAGUGGUAAUUUCUCUAUAAAAACUCUACCGAAAUCUCUGCUUGGCCCCAGAACCAUGCAUACAUGAGGCAAUUCAAAAUACGCAACUAAGGAUAAAGGACUGAAAUGAGAUCUGAAAUACCACCCCUGCAGGAGAAACAGAAUUUGCAGUGUCAGUCUAACCAAUUUGACUGUUAAAACAAACAUAUCAACUUUAAUGGUCACUUAUGUUUACAACUUUGAGAAGGCUAAUGAACUACAAGUAGAAUAAAUACAAAUAAAAUGCCUCCACAUGUGAAAAAAAAAUCUGCUAAAACACCAAAGUGGAAGAAAGAAUGUUGGGAAAAGUCAGGAAAAAAAAUGAUUGGAAAGAUUGUAGUUUUUACACCCGACACAAGGAAGGCCAGAAGACCAUGGAUCAAAUCUUUAAAGCACAGAAAGAAAAAAAAAAGCUGUCAAGAAAAAAACGUAGUCUGACAAAAAUAUGCUUCAAGAAUGAAGGUGAAAUAAAGGAAUUUGGGGUUAACAAAAACAAAAUAAACAACAAACAACAAAUCACCAGCAGAUAUGCACUUCAAGGAAGGUCUUCAAGCUGAAAGGAAGUGAUACCAGAGGUAUUCCAGGUCAGGACUCUGCACAUUAGGAACCAAUGGCUGGAAAGAGCAUACUUAAGGAAUCAUUAGUGAGUACAAGCUACAGGUCUCACCAGUUUCCUGUACCAUUUGUAGGCAAGUGUGGUGAGUAUUAUCCAGUGGUUUGUAGGUAAAUGUUAAUAACUAGCUCUCCAGAAAUAGAAAGUUCUGAUUUGUAGUGUUUGCUUAUCUUUAUAGCUUAAAACAUUCACCCACCAUGACUGAUAUCAAGCUAUUAACAUGGUGUCACUGAACAAAGACUUGGGAAAAGAUGUAUAGUAGCAUAUACCAUUGUAUAGGAUCUCCAC
rnacentral:lncRNA from 1 species